GACGAACGCUGGCGGCGUGCCUAAUACAUGCAAGUAGAACGCUGAAGGAGGAGCUUGCUUCUCUGGAUGAGUUGCGAACGGGUGAGUAACGCGUAGGUAACCUGCCUGGUAGCGGGGGAUAACUAUUGGAAACGAUAGCUAAUACCGCAUAAUAUUGACUAUUGCAUGAUAGUCAGUUGAAAGGUGCAACUGCACCACUACCAGAUGGACCUGCGUUGUAUUAGCUAGUUGGUGGGGUAACGGCUCACCAAGGCGACGAUACAUAGCCGACCUGAGAGGGUGAUCGGCCACACUGGGACUGAGACACGGCCCAGACUCCUACGGGAGGCAGCAGUAGGGAAUCUUCGGCAAUAGACGGAAGUCUGACCGAGCAACGCCGCGUGAGUGAAGAAGGUUUUCGGAUCGUAAAGCUCUGUUGUAAGAGAAGAACGAGUGUGAGAGUGGAAAGCUCACACUGUGACGGUAUCUUACCAGAAAGGGACGGCUAACUACGUG
rnacentral:rRNA from 1 species